rnacentral:tRNA from 2 species
UUUUUCUUAUUAUAUUUUAGUAAGUUUAAUUUCCAAUUAAAAAGACCUAUGAAGGAGAAAAAU